rnacentral:rRNA from 1 species
GUCGUGCAGCAGAGGGGCCCCCGCGGCCUCCUCUCGCGGCGUGCCAAAGGUCGGUGACCCACCCGACCCGUCUUGAAACACGGACCAAGGAGUCUAACAUGUGUGCGAGUCAAUGGGCUAACUAAACCCAGAGGCGCAAUGAAAGUGAAAGGAGGGCGCUCCUCGGAGCGCUCUCCGGGGCCGAUCCCUGACCGAGUGAGACGCGGCCGCGGCCGACCCACACCAAAGCGGGGACGCUGAGGAGGCGCGCGGGGUGAGACCCUUUCCCCCGUUAGCGCCGCCGGCCUCGCGGGCGCCCGGCCCUCUCUCUGGUCUCUGCCUGUACGCAGGGGGGCGCAGGCCCGGGACUUGCCAAGCGACGCCGUCGCGCGAAUCUGUUGUUGACCACGCCGGCUCUGCUUGGGCUCUCGGUUGGCGUGCCGCGUGUCUUUGGGCGCGUCGUUGCGGGUGGGGCGGGCUCUCGCGGGCUCGUCCUUCCCCGUCUCGGCACGUCCGGCGCGGUUUCGCUCUCCGAUCCUGCUCUGUCCGGCGUGGCCUAGCGCGCGUGCUGUCGGCAAGUACCAUGAGCAGACAUGUUGGGACCCGAAAGAUGGUGAACUAUGCCUGGCCAGGAUGAAGCCAGAGGAAACUCUGGUGGAGGUCCGCAGCAAUUCUGACGUGC